rnacentral:rRNA from 1 species
GAUGAACGCUGGCGGCGUGCUUAACACAUGCAAGUCGAACGGAAAGACUCCUGCUUCCAGGGGUACCCGAGUGGCGCACGGGCGAGUAACACGUGGGUGAUCUGCUCUGCACUUCGGGAUAAGCCUGGGAAACUGGGUCUAAUACCGCAUAGGACGCUGGUUUGGCUGCUAUCGUGGCAAGCUUUUUCGGUGGGGGAUUAGCUCGCGGCGUAUCAGCAUGCUAUUGGUGUAUUGGCCUAUGAAGGCGUCGACGGGUAUCCGGCAUGAGAGGGUGUACGGCGACAGUAGGACAGAGUGACGAUCCAGAUGGCUAUGGGUGGCAGCAGGGGAAGUUGUUGAACAAUGGGCGGAAGCCUGAUGCAGAGACGCCGCGUGGGGGAUGACAGCCUUCUGGUGAUAAACUCCUUGCACUUGAGACGAAGCGCUUGUGACGGUACCUGGAGAAGAAGCACCGGCUAACUACGUG